UUGAAAAACUCAUUUAGUUUCUUUUAAAGCAUUUUUUUAUGUGCAUGGGCAUCUUUCCUGCAGGUGUGUAUGUGCACCACAUUUAUACAGGGUCUGAAGAAGCCAAGAGAGGGUCUUGAAUCCCCUAGUAUUGUAGUUACAGAUGGUUGGGAGCCACCAUGUGGGUGCUGGAACCUAGGUCCUCCGAAAGAGCAGCCGGUGCUCAUAACCCCUGUGCCCAUCUCCCAGCACCGGCAAGUGCCACACUAUAUGGAGUACUAAGAACUUUUAAAAUAUUUGUCCUUGGAGUGUAUUAUUUAGAUGCAUGUUAUCCACUACUCUGAGAGCCCUCUCUGUCUAUGCAGGACAAGAGAAUACAAAUUUCUCCAGACUGACCACAAGGCGAUCUCUGCCAGGCCUCCCUGGACUUCAUUAGUCAGAGGAACUUUUUAUUGAAGCAUUUUCUGAGGCAACUCUGACUUUUUAAAGAUAUUUAAAAAUUAGAUUUGGACGUUGAAAUAAACUUUAUUAUUGGGGCUUUAGGCCUGAAAUUUCCACGCAGAGUUCAACUCAAAUACCAGAGCCUUAUUAUACAGAUGUAACUCUCCUUUCAAAUGAUAUUUGAAUAGAAUCCUCCUCAUUGUGAAUGUUGGUUUCUACGCAGACUCUCCAGCUACUUCUGCUGCUUUGUGCAUUAUACCGUUUCGCGUUCCCUCACCAGCUGGAAGCAGCACGGAAAUGCACGAGGAGCAGAGGAAGGAUGUGGUCCAUCCGGGACAGGCUGAGCUCUUAUGCUGAAGAUCGCCACCCAGUGGGGACACGGGAAAUUCCAGCCCAGGGUGCCCAGCUGUGACCCAAUGAGGAAAAGCCUGUGGAUGGUGACAGAAAGCUGACUAACAUAAGAGUCACUGAAGACUUUCAUCUUUUCUCUAAUAAAAUGGAGUCAGACAUUGUGCUGGCUGGUUUU
rnacentral:lncRNA from 1 species